ACGGAGGGUGCAAGCGUUAUUCGGAUUUAUUGGGCGUAAAGGGCGCGUAGGCGGCUUUUUAGGUCAGAUGUGAAAUCCCGGAGCUUAACUACGGAUCUGCACUUGAUACUGGGAAGCUAGAGUAUGGUAGAGGUAAUGGGAAUUCCUGGUGUAGCGGUGAAAUGCGUAGAUAUCAGGAGGAACACCUGUGGCGUAAGCGGUUUACUGGACCAUUACUGACGCUGAGGCGCGAAAGCGGGGGGAUCAAAUGG
rnacentral:rRNA from 1 species